AUAUGAAUCACUGAGAUGGUAUUUAAGAUCCUUCAGGUAACCUGUACAAGAAAAAAAAAAAUUAAAAGGCGGCUAAUCAAAUGGCUUUGGGGGCUGUAAAAAAGCAGAAUUCAAUCCCUGCAAACUUUCCAAGAUGUAAUUUCAGAAGACAUCAAAGAUGACAUGAACCUCAGAAAGUAAAGCUACUCAAAAUUCAAAGUUUAUAGUCCAUCUGUCUCUUUGCUUCAGGGAGCUGGUAUUAAAUUCGUUGCUAAAUAAAACAAAUAAGCCUAGGAAAAGUCAGCGUCGAAAUCUGCAUACUCGUAAGAGAAUUAGCAGAGCUCUCUUGUUAUGAUGGCUGCUUCUCAAUUUGCAUCUUUAAAGAGUUGUGACCAUCUCUGCUCUUCUCCCUUCACCAGCUCCUGGGAAGCCAGGCUGGUGCUGGCAUAGCUCAGUGAGGAGAUGCUGCGGGUGAAGCUUGAGCUCCCAUCACGGCCAGAACCAGAAAGAGGAUGGGGAAUGAGCGCCAAAGCCCAGCCAAGCCCAUCUCUAUCUCAGUCAGCUGAUAUUGCCUCUGGAAAAUAGACUCCAAACCUUGUCCAAGUGCUGGAGCUUCUGCAAAACCCGAAAUAUUUUCUGUCUGGCAUCCCCAGCUGGUUGAAACAACCGGCGACAGCUUUAUGGCUCCUCAUCUUUGCUCGCUUCUGUGGAAUAGUAAUAAGGGAGGGGAAAAACGUCCCGCUGGCUGAUUUACAAGGCAAGAAAUUCCUAUAAAUCAUUCCAACAUCUCCGAAGGACCGGGGGGAUGCUCUGAGUUCCCGCUGGUUUUCUCAGCGAUGCAAUGCAGGGAUUUUUUUCUGUAUUUUAUUUUUUUUUUUUGG
rnacentral:lncRNA from 1 species